AACGCACAUUGCGCCCUUUGGCAUUCCGAAGGGCAUGCCUGUUCGAGCGUCAUUACACCAAUCAAGCCUGGCUUGGUAUUGGGCGACGGGGCCGUCACACGCCCCGCGCCCCAAUGACUCCGGCGGGACGGACCGAAUCUCAGCGUUGUGAUCGAAGGCCGCUGGCGAGACGGGACGGCCGUGCCGUUAAACAACCCCAUCACAAGGUUGACCUCGGAUCAGGUAGGGAUACCCGCUGAACUUAA
rnacentral:misc_RNA from 1 species